GACGAACGCUGGCGGCGUGCUUAACACAUGCAAGUCGAACGGAAAGGCCCUGCUUGCAGGGUACUCGAGUGGCGAACGGGUGAGUAACACGUGGGUGAUCUGCCCUGCACUUCGGGAUAAGCUUGGGAAACUGGGUCUAAUACCGGAUAGGAGCCAUCUUUAGUGUGGUGGUUGGAAAGUUUUUUCGGUGUAGGAUGAGCUCGCGGCCUAUCAGCUUGUUGGUGGGGUAAUGGCCUACCAAGGCGGCGACGGGUAGCCGGCCUGAGAGGGUGUACGGCCACAUUGGGACUGAGAUACGGCCCAGACUCCUACGGGAGGCAGCAGUGGGGAAUAUUGCACAAUGGGCGCAAGCCUGAUGCAGCGACGCCGCGUGGGGGAUGAAGGCCUUCGGGUUGUAAACUCCUUUCGCUAGGGACGAAGCUUUUUUGUGACGGGACCUAGAUAAGAAGCGCCGGCUAACUACGU
rnacentral:rRNA from 1 species